rnacentral:rRNA from 1 species
GACGAACGCUGGCGGCGUGCUUAACACAUGCAAGUCGAACGGGGCUCAUCGCUUCGGUGGUGGGUCUAGUGGCGAACGGGUGAGUAACACGUGGGCAACCUGCCCCCGGCUCUGGGAUAACUCCAAGAAAUUGGGGCUAAUACCGGAUGUGACCGCUGGCCGCAUGGUCUGGUGGUGGAAAGGGUUUCCGGCUGGGGAUGGGCCCGCGGCCUAUCAGCUUGUUGGUGGGGGAGUGGCCUACCAAGGGGACGACGGGUAGGCGGCCUGAGAGGGCGAACGGCCACACUGGGACGGAGACACGGCCCAGACUCCUACGGGAGGCGGCAGUGGGGAAUAUGGCGCAAUGGGCGGACGCGUGACGCAGCGACGCCGCGGGGGGGAUGACGGCUUUCGGGUUGUAAACCUCUUUCAGCAGGGACGAAGCCGCGAGGUGACGGUACCUGCAGAAGAAGCACCGGCCAACUACGUGCCAGCCGCCGCGGUAA